CUUCCGUAGGUGAACCUGCGGAAGGAUCAUUACACAUUUUGGCCGUAACAAGCCUUACCCCUUCUCUACACGUACCUUCACAUUCUCCUUCGGCGGGGUAACGCCCGCCGUCGGAACCAUCCAAACCCUUUUUUUUGCAUCUAGCAUCCUACCCGUUCUGAUACAAAAUUCAAUCGUUACAACUUUCAACAAUGGAUCUCUUGGCUCUGGCAUCGAUGAAGAACGCAGCGAAAUGCGAUAAGUAGUGUGAAUUGCAGAAUUCAGUGAAUCAUCGAAUCUUUGAACGCACAUUGCGCCCCUUGGUAUUCCAUGGGGCAUGCCUGUUCGAGCGUCAUCUACACCCUCAAGCUCUGCUUGGUGUUGGGCGUCUGUCCCGCCCCCGCGCGUGGACUCGCCCCAAAUCCAUUGGCAGCGUUCCUUGCCCCCUCUCGCGCAGCACAUUGCGCUUCUCGAGGGCGGCUCCGGGACGCGAUCCAGCAAGAUGACCACCGUCUUUGACCUCGGAUCAGGUAGGGAUACCCGCUGAACUUAAGCAUAUCAAUAAGCGGAGGAGG
rnacentral:rRNA from 1 species